AACCUGACAAACACCAAUUCUCACACCGACCUGACAAACACCCGCUCUCACACCCACAUAAAUACACACAUAAGCUCGAGCAAGCCAAUCCAUACACACAACAAGACAACUCACAUAAGCAGUGGUGGAAAAAGUACCCAAUUGUCACUUUUAUUUAUUUAUUUCUCUCCAAUUACGAUCUUGUCUCAUCACUGCAACUCCCCAAUGGGCUCGGGAGAGGUGAAUGUCGAGUCACGCGUCCUCCGAAACAUGACCCGCCAAACUGUGCUCCUUAACACCCGUCCGCUUAGGCCGGAAGCCAGCCGCACCAAUGUGUCAGAGGAAACACUGUUCAACUGAUGACCGAAGUACCUGGCUCCCGAGUGGCGCAGUGGUCAAAGGAACUGUAUCUCAGUGCAAGAGGUGUCACUACAGUCCCUGGUUUGAAUCCAGGCUGCAUCAAGGCUGUCUCCUGACCCCUCCUGUCUCAGCCUCCAGUAUUUAUGCUGCAGUAGUUUAUGUGUCGGGGGGCUAGGGUCAGUUUGUUAUAUCUGGAGUACUUCUCCUGUCCUAUUCGGUGUCCUGUGUGAAUCUAAGUGUGCGUUCUCUAAUUCUCUCCUUCUCUCUUUCUUUCUCUCUCUCGGAGGACCUGAGCCCUAGGACCAUGCCCCAGGACUACCUGACAUGAUGACUCCUUGCUGUCCCCAGUCCACCUGGCCAUGCUGCUGCUCCAGUUUCAACUGGCCUGGGCCCUAGGACCAUGUCCCAGGACUACCUGACAGGAUGACUCCUUGCUGUCCCCAGUCCACCUGGCCAUGCUGCUGCUCCAGUUUCAACUGUUCUGCCUUACUAUUAUUCAACCAUGCUGGUCAUUUAUGAACAUUUGAACAUCUUGGCCACGUUCUGUUAUAAUCUCCACCCGGCACAGCCAGAAGAGGACUGGCCACCCCACAUAUGCUCUCUCUAAUUCUCUCUUUCUUUCUCUCUCUCGGAGGACCUGAGCCCUAGGACCGUGCCCCAGGACUACCUGACAUGAUGGCUCCUUGCUGUCCCCAGUCCACCUGACUGUGCUGCUGCUCCAGUUUCAACUGUUCUGCCUUAUUAUUAUUCGACCAUGCUGGUCAUUUAUGAACAUUUGAACAUCUUGGUCAUGUUCUGUUAUAAUCUCUACCCGGCACAGCCAGAAGAGGACUGGCCACCCCACAUAGCCCGGUUCCUCUCUAGGUUUCUUCCUAGGUUUUGGCCUUUCUAGGGAGUUUUUCCUAGCCACCGUGCUUUUACACCUGCAUUGUUUGCUGUUUGGGGUUUUAGGCUGGGUUUCUGUACAGCACUUUGAGAUAUCAGCUGAUGUACGAAGGGCUAUAUAAAUACAUUUGAUUUGAUUUGAUCACAUCUUGCUAUGAUUGGGAGUCCCGUAGUGUGGCUCCCAGUGUUGUCCGGGGUAGGCUGUCAUUGUAUAUAAGAAUAUGUUCUUAACUGACUUGCCUAGUUAAAUAUAAAAUACAAAUAGUCUUAAAGUUGAAUAUUAGUCAGAUGUCAGUAUUAAGGAUACUUGACAGACGUCUGUGCUGGAGUGGGGUUAUUAUUAGAAAUAGGACACAUGACAAAUGAGACAGUUCCCCAAAUGAACAUCAAUUUGCUUUAUCUCAACACCACAUCAUCAGAAAAGGAACUAAUAGAUGUGCGUUCAACAAAAUAACAUGUUUAAACAAUUUAAAACUAGAAAAGAGUUCUGAACUUUCAGAGGAAGACUCAAGGCUGUCAUUAUAACUCUCUACGAUAGUACAAAUAUUGACCAUGCUGCUUGACGGCAACCCAACAAGGCAUCAUAUUCAUGUUUAUCAAUUGAUAAAUAUAUGUCAUUAGAAAAGGUGAAGAUAAACACAUAGGAAAUGUAGGCAUUCAUGGUGUUUUUGUCCCUGUAGGCAUUAAUGUGCAACAAAAAAAAAAAACAUUCUUCUCUUUCAAAAUAUGGAUACAUCUCAACUCAUAUUUUCAAACACAGCAGCAGGUGAAGGAAUCAUUGAUCACUUGUUUUUGGGGGGGGAAGCCACCAUUUGAACAUCCAUGGCUCUGUUUGGUCUUGAGUGACAUCGUAGUAUUAGUAUAUGUGAAACACAAGUCCAUAUUUCACAGUGUGGGUUUAUAACGCACUUUGUGAACAACACUACAAAGUGAUGUGUCCAGUCACAGUAGAGAAAUUCCACCAUAACGGAAUUACGCUUUGACUCAGAGUUUUUGCAUUAGAAUGUAUGCCAAAGAAAAUCCACUGAUUUUAAAGUUUAAAAAUCUCCCUCAGUUUUCCCAAAACUGUUAAAUAUCUCUGACAUGACACCUUGAGCUUGGGGAAAAAAUAUUUUGGUUAUUGAAGUGAAGUGGAUUUACAUCUGGUAACGGAAUUAUGGUAAUGGAUUUACAGCAUGAGUCCCUGAUCUGUACAACACAGAAAUGCUUAAUUAUGGAUAUGAGUGUCAUUCUGUUCAUGGUGAUGUAUCCUGAAUAGGUACACAAAGGAAUAAUUAUGCAAUAUCCUUAUUUUGCAUAUUUGGGUAUUAUUCUACACACUGGCUAUUAUUCUAAUGAGCUCCGCCCGCAAACAAGACAACAUUUGGUUGGUCUGGACCAGACCAAAUCUGAACCAAUCACUGACAUCUAUGCUUCACAAGUUUGGACAUCACAGAACAGCACAGUAGAGUACAGUUCAAUACAUUACACUAUAGUCUACUCUAGAGUAUACUAUAGUGUACUCUAUGGUACUGAACUAUACUUUUCUGUACUGUACUCUACUGUGCUUCACUGUACUGUACUGUGCUAUCCAAACUUGUGAAACAUAGAUGUCUAUGAUUGGUUCAAAUUUUGGGUUUUGAUGCACAGUAUUUCAAAGAACUUUUUAGACUUUUUCCAUCUGACCAGAAAUCAAAGCCGUUGCUGAUUUUUAGGAUGGAAAAUGGUUGAAAACGUAAAUAUGCCUUACUUUAUAGACUCUUAGCUUUCAUUUGACAUGCUCCUAUGCUUUUCUCGUGGUGGUGCUCAUGGGUCCUUUUACAUGGACAUGCCCAGUACAAAUAGCUUCUCUUCAGUGAAUUUUAGUGCAAUCUAUUUAAUGUUAUACACAAAUGUAUAUGUUAUUAUUGCAUAACUUUGGUGUUAUAUUGCAUGUUUAAUGUAGUCAUAAUCUUCAAAAUAAUAAACAAACACUGGUACUAA